rnacentral:lncRNA from 10 species
UGCCACUGAAAUCUCAGCUCAUGUCUGGUGGCCCUUUUUGCCAGGCUCUGGUCUUAAGAUGGUCCUGGGUCCUUACUGCCACUCCCAGUGUCCUCUACUGUCCCUUGUGGUUUUCCUGCACAAGGCUAUAUCUUUUCUCUUCAGGCCUCCCUGUUCCCUGAGAUGCGACAAUAUUGAAAUUAGGCUAUUUAAAGUACUUCAUGACUAAAACACGAAAAGCAAUGGCAACAAAAACCAAAAUUGACAAACGGGAUCUAAUUAAACUAAAGAGCUUCUGCACAGCAAAAGAAACUACCGUCAGAGUGAACAGGCAACCUACAGAAUGGGAGAAAAUUUUUACAAUCUGCUCAUCUGACAAAGGGCUAAUAUCCAGAAUCUACAAAGAACUUAAACAAAUUUAC